rnacentral:rRNA from 1 species
GAUCCUGGCUCAGAUUAAACGCUGGCGGCAUGCCUUACACAUGCAAGUCGAACGGCAGGCACGGGGGGCAACCUGGUGGCGAGUGGCGAACGGGUGAGUAAUGCAUCGGAACGUGCCAUUGAGUGGGGGAUAACGUAGCGAAAGUUGCGCUAAUACCGCAUAUUCUGUGAGCAGGAAAGCAGGGGACCGCAAGGCCUUGCGCUCUUUGAGCGGCCGAUGUCAGAUUAGCUAGUUGGUGAGGUAACGGCUUACCAAGGCGACGAUCUGUAGCGGGUCUGAGAGGAUGAUCCGCCACACUGGAACUGAGACACGGUCCAGACUCCUACGGGAGGCAGCAGUGGGGAAUUUUGGACAAUGGGCGCAAGCCUGAUCCAGCCAUGCCGCGUGAGUGAAGAAGGCCUUCGGGUUGUAAAGCUCUUUCGGCCGGGAAGAAAUCGCAUGGGUUAAUACCCUGUGUGGAUGACGGUACCGGAAUAAGAAGCACCGGCUAACUACGUG